rnacentral:rRNA from 1 species
AGGGGCGAAAGACUAAUCGAACCAUCUAGUAGCUGGUUCCCUCCGAAGUUUCCCCCAGGAUAGCUGGAGCUCGGUCAGUUUUAUCGGGUAAAGCGAAUGAUUAGAGGUACCGGGGAUGAAACAUCCUCGACCUAUUCUCAAACUUUAAAUAGGUAAGACGUCUGGGUUGCUUAAUUGAACCCAGGCACUCAAUGAGAGCUCCAAGUGGGCCAUUUUUGGUAAGCAGAACUGGCGAUGCGGGAUGAACCGAACGCGAGGUUAAGGUGCCGGAAUGUACGCUUAUCAGACACCACAAAAGGUGUUAGUUCAUCUAGACAGCAGGACGGUGGCCAUG